GUGCUUGCUUUGGCAGCACAUAUACUGAAAUUGGAACAAUACAGAGAUGAUUAGGCUGGCCCCUUCAUAAAGAUGACAUGCAAAUUCAUGAACAAACCUUGGUGUGU
rnacentral:snRNA from 1 species